UUAGAAUUUUCAUUUUUGUAUAUAGGUGAGAAUAGGAAGGAAAAGUCUCUUGGGUUUCUUACACAGAAUUUCGUUAAGCUGUUUCUCUGCACCGAUAUGGAUUUGAUUUCUCUCGAAGAUGCAGCAAAGCUUUUGCUCGGUGACGGAAAGCACACUUCAAUGACUACUAGAA